rnacentral:other from 1 species
AAAUUUCUGAAAUAUUUGAAAAGCUCCUAUUUUGAAUCUACAUUACAACAAAGGGAGUCUCAUAAAAUUAAGAUUAUAUUAGGCCUAUGGUGAGUCCCAUAUGAUUUCAUAAUUGAAAACAUAACGGCAGUAGGAAAAUAGAAGCUUAUUUGCGGACACCCACCUAUCAAGAGAUAGGUCUCAAAAUUGGAGAAACGGUAUUUUGGACGCAAU